rnacentral:tRNA from 1 species
AGAGAGAUGUCAGAGUGGUCGAAUGAGACGGUCUCGAAAACCGUUAUGCGGGCAACCGCAUCGAGGGUUCGAAUCCCUCUCUCUCUG